CAGCCGCCGCGGGAAUACGUAGGGUGCAAGCGUUAAUCGGAAUUACUGGGCGUAAAGCGUGCGCAGGCGGUUUGUUAAGACAGAUGUGAAAUCCCCGGGCUCAACCUGGGAACUGCAUUUGUGACUGGCAAGCUAGAGUGUGGCAGAGGGGGGUGGAAUUCCGCGUGUAGCAGUGAAAUGCGUAGAUAUGCGGAGGAACACCGAUGGCGAAGGCAGCCCCCUGGGCCAACACUGACGCUCAUGCACGAAAGCGUGGGGAGCAAACAGGAUUAGAUACCCCUGUAGUCCCUGUCUCUUAUAU
rnacentral:rRNA from 1 species